rnacentral:piRNA from 1 species
UGGUGAAUAUAGUGGAAUCAGUGAGA